rnacentral:rRNA from 1 species
AUGGUGGAGGCUAUGAUUGCCGCUAAACAUGGCUUUAGUAACCCGACCCAACAUAAACUGGAUGCUCAAGCAUUUUUGGCAUCAGAAGGGGCAUUUGAAGCUUCUAAAGUCCUUGAGUACUUUGCCUCUCCAAGAGAGAAUAUAGCGCAGGGUGAAGUGUCUACUAAAGAAAUCAUUGAGAAUGGUAAAAAGUGGAUGGGUGAGGAAGUCAUGUUUGCUUUUGAGAACAUGGAGAGUGAUGGCCAUCCCUUCCAUCACUUCAACUUCACCGUUAAGAUGAAGAAGUCAGAAGGCGAUUGGUCAUCCAUGCCCUAUUUUGCUGAAGUGAAAGAGAUCUAUGGAAGAAAAUAUUAUUCCUGCUACGAACUAAGUUCGUAUGAUGAUGGUCACUGCGACACGUGCAAAAAUCAAGGAAUGCAUGCACUGAAGCACCCUAUUUGUCUAAUGGGGUCGAUUAUUGAUGGGGAUGAGAGGACUGCUUUGAGCCGGAUGCUCGUGUUGCCCGUUCCCAGGGUUUUCUGGUCCUUGUAUGAUUUGCUCGUGUUGGUCGGUCACAUGCUUCUUCUUACCGACUUGUUCAUGCUGGCCGCACCUGCCCACAACCUGCAUGCUGAAAAGGCCAAACACAACACCCCUCAGACCAUCCUUAGCCAGGACCUUGGGGGUGAGGAAGUACCUGAGCUUGAAAUGGCUCGGAAAGGAUACAAGGAAUUAAAAGUGCACGAGAAUAAUUAG